rnacentral:rRNA from 1 species
UACGUAGGCAGCGAGCGUUGUUCGGAAUUACUGGGCGUAAAGAGUGUGUAGGCGGUGCUCUAAGUUCGGUGUGAAAUCUCCCGCUUAACUGGGAGGGUGCGCCGGAAACUGGAGUGCUCGAACGUGGGAGAGGAAAGCGGAAUUCCUGGUGUAGCGGUGAAAUGCGUAGAUAUCAGGGAGGAACACCUGCGGUGUAGACGGCUUUCUGGACCAUUGUUGACGCUGAGACACGAAAGCGUGGGUAGCAAACAGG